rnacentral:rRNA from 1 species
CUCCUAGGGGCGCAGCAGUGGGGAAUAUUGCGCAAUGGGCGAAAGCCUGACGCAGCGACGCCGCGUGAGGGAUGGAGGUCUUCGGAUCGUAAACCUCUGUCAGCAGGGAAGAACGGUCACUGUGCUAAUCAGCAGUGAAUUGACGGUACCUGCAAAGGAAGCACCGGCUAACUCCGUGCCAGCAGCCGCGGUAAUACGGAGGGUGCGAGCGUUAAUCGGAAUUACUGGGCGUAAAGCGCUCGUAGGCGGUAUGUCAAGUCAAGGGUGAAAUCCGCGCGCUGAACGUGGGAACUGGCUUUGAAACU